rnacentral:rRNA from 1 species
UAAGGAAUAUUGGUCAAUGGACGCAAGUCUAAACCAGCCAUGCCGCGUGGAGGAUUAAGGCCCUCUGGGUUGUAAACUCCUUUUAUCUGGGAAGAAAUGUACUUUUUCUUGAGUACUUGACGGUACCAGAGGAAUAAGCACCGGCUAACUCCGUGCCAGCAGCCGCGGUAAUACGGAGGGUGCAAGCGUUAUCCGGAUUCACUGGGUUUAAAGGGUGCGUAGGUGGGCAGGUAAGUCAGUGGUGAAAUCUCCGGGCUUAACCCGGAAACUGCCGUUGAUACUAUUUGUCUUGAAUAUUGUGGAGGUAAGCGGAAUAUGUCAUGUAGCGGUGAAAUGCUUAGAUAUGACAUAGAACACCAAUUGCGAAGGCAGCUUACUACACAAUCAUUGACGCUGAGGCACGAAAGCGUGGGGAUCAAACA